AUGUUUUCCUUUUCACCCCCUGUUAGGCGUCGGAACUUCCUUGUAUAUUAUCCACCCUUCUGCAUUAUGGAGUCGCGGAUAAUAAUAAAAAAGGGUAUAAGGAUCAUCAGCUUGUGCCUUGUGGAGUUGUCGUGUCUGGUUCAGACCGUGGAGGUUUCGAACCGACAAAGUCGAAGUCUGGUUUUUAAUGUCAUCAGUGUUCAUGGAUCUUUGUGGUUUAUAUUGUUGAACUGUGAUGAAUUUGUUGCAGUUUUGGGUUCUGGCAUGUUUGUUUGCCUCUGCUUGGCAUCACAGAUGGGAUGUUACUGCUGGGAAUCCCGUGGGAGACGUUUGCCGCGGUAA
rnacentral:rRNA from 1 species